GACAGCCUGUCCUUCAUCCUUUCAGACGCUGACAUUUUUUUACACUUUAUUUUGCAUUUUACAUUUUUAGUCAUUUAGCAGACGCUCUUAUCCAGAGCGACUUACAGGAGCAUUAGUUUAUUGAACCCGUUUUUGUUAAUGCAAGAUACUUUGUGACAAUUUACUUCAAAUAAACUGCCAGCAGGAUGUUUGGUUGCAAGGAACGACGUUCAAAAAACUAACUUGUGCAGAGGGCGAGAGACAGAAUCAAGAAAGAUGGCGAGAUGACAAACCACAUUGCAGAGCUGGACAGUAUCUGUGGUGUUUGAGGGCUCCACCCAGGCUGGUUCCAUGAAGACCCUGAAGCUGAGAGAGCUGACCCAGCAGAGAGAGACUGCGCUGGGAAAGACUGCUCUGACGCUGGUCCGUAGAGCAGCACUGCAGGCCCUCCUGGAGCAUGAGAGACAGCAGUACGUCAUAGAGCUCAACAGACUGGGCAAGGCCAUCUACAAACAGAGUCUAGACUCUAGUCUUCACUAGACCCAUAACAACACCAAAGACUAUCUGAAGUUUCUGCUGAAAGCCAUCUACCAGCAAGGAUGUGUAAACAACUAUAGAAUACUUUUAAGUAUUAAUGUGAAAACAUUUACUCACAGCCAUCUAUAAGCACCUUGUUUACAAUUGAAGAUGUGUUUUUUCUUUAGGAUUACAGUUUUACAUCUUUGUCUUUACAUUUAAAAAAAAAAGUCUGAUCUGUGCAGAAGCAGAAACUGCUUCUGUAAAAGUACACAUUUAAGUAAUUUACAUUCCAGUAAAUUAAUUACUGGGCCUCAUGUCACAUGACUCAUGUCACGUUAACAAAACAGGGAUUUGUGUGUCAGUCAGGGAGGUAGCACUAUACAUAAACAAAACACAUAUUUGGUUAACAAACAGGUCUCCUUCACAACCGCAAGCAAGACCAAAAGAAAUCAACGAAUACACAGUCUGUCAUUUGUCCGUUCAGUAGAGCUCUCUACUGGUCAUUUGCUUCAGUUUUGAGGAGUAAUUACAGUGCCUUCGGAAAGUAUUCAGACCCCUUGACUUUUUCCAUAUU